UAUGGGGCGCAGCAGGCGAGAAAACUUUGCAAUGUGCGAAAGCACGACAAGGUUAAUCCGAGUGGUUUCUGCUAAAGGAACCUUUUGUUAGUCCUAGAAACACUAACGAAUAAGGGGUGGGCAAGUUCUGGUGUCAGCCGCCGCGGUAAAACCAGCACCUCAAGUGGUCAGGAUGAUUAUUGGGCCUAAAGCAUCCGUAGCCGGCUCUGUAAGUUUUCGGUUAAAUCUGUACGCUCAACGUACAGGCUGCCGGGAAUACUGCAGAGCUAGGGAGUGGGAGAGGUAGACGGUACUCGGUAGGAAGGGGUAAAAUCCUUUGAUCUAUUGAUGACCACCUGUGGCGAAGGCGGUCUACCAGAACACGUCCGACGGUGAGGGAUGAAAGCUGGGGGAGCAAACCGGAUUAGAUACCCGGGUAGUCCCAGCUGUAAACUAUGCAAACUCAGUGAUGCAUUGGCUUGUGGCCAAUGCAGUGCUGCAGGGAAGCCGUUAAGUUUGCCGCCUGGGAAGUACGUACGCAAGUAUGAAACUUAAAGGAAUUGGCGGGGGAGCACCACAAGGGGUGAAGCCUGCGGUUCAAUUGGAGUCAACGCCAGAAAUCUUACCCGGAGAGACAGCAGAAUGAAGGUCAAGCUGAAGACUUUACCAGACAAGCUGAGAGGUGGUGCAUGGCCGUCGCCAGCUCGUGCCGUGAGAUGUCCUGUUAAGUCAGGUAACGAGCGAGAUCCCUGCCUCUAGUUGCCACCAUUACUCUCAGGAGUAGUGGGGCGAAUUAGCGGGACCGCCGCAGUUAAUGCGGAGGAAGGAAGGGGCCACGGCAGGUCAGUAUGCCCCGAAACUCUGGGGCCACACGCGGGCUGCAAUGGUAAUGACAAUGGGUUCCAAAUCCGAAAGGAGGAGGUAAUCCUCAAACAUUACCACAGUUAUGACUGAGGGCUGCAACUCGCCCUCACGAAUAUGGAAUCCCUAGUAACUGCGUGUCAUUAUCGCGCGGUGAAUACGUCCCUGCUCCUUGCACACACCGCCCGUCGUUUCAUUGAAGUGAGCUUUUAGCGAGGUGACGUCUGAUUGGCGUUAUCGAACUUGAGGUUCGUGACAAGGGAAAAGUCGUAACAAGGUAACC
rnacentral:rRNA from 1 species